GAUUUUGUAUUUCAAAAAGAAUAAUAAAUUGCAAAUUUAUAGGUAAAGUAAUAUUCAAAAUUU
rnacentral:tRNA from 1 species